rnacentral:rRNA from 1 species
AAACCUGCGAAACUCUAAUGAACGAACGGAGAGAUUCAUCGUCAUUCCGCGGCGUACCCGUUCGCGCCUCGAUGUCUGCGCGCGCGCGUCUCACGGCGCGUCCGCGCGUACACGGGUCGUACGGGUCGACGUUCGCGGACGGCGUGCACUUCUCUCUCAGUACACACCCGCCGCAAGGCGGGGUGGAUACAUCGCGACCCGUUCGCGUAGUCGGUCUAAGCGUCGUCCGGGAGCCUAGCGGCCUGCGUCUAAACAACGCAUGCCGUUAGACCGCGACGUACGCCGCCCGGCUGCGGACGGUAUAUAAUUGUAUGGGAAUCGCGCACGCGUAUCUACGCGUCAGGCCCGACGCAAGCGUUCCGCGUCCACGUCAGCGUCCUGCCUAUGCGCGGACGUCGACGUGGCGCCGCUGUCGUCGCAGCCGUGUAGUCUCUGACUGUGCGCGUAUCCGUCUGCGAUGUUUCAGUUUCGGGCACUCGCAGGAC